rfam:Peptostreptococcaceae bacterium oral taxon 113 str. W5053 genomic scaffold Scaffold31, whole genome shotgun sequence.
AAAUAUCUUCAGGGGUGGGUGAAAUUCCCUACCGGCGGUGACAGUCCGCGAGCGCAAGCUGAUUUGGUGCAAUUCCAAAACCGACAGUACAGUCUGGAUGAGAGAAGAUGCUG